rnacentral:tRNA from 1 species
GGUAGCUCAGUCGGUUGAGCGCUCGCCUCUCAAGCCAGAGACACGGAUUCAAAACCAGUCACU